GACGGUGGGGGCAAGUGUUCUUCGGAAUGACUGGGCGUAAAGGGCACGUAGGCGGUGAAUCGGGUUGAAAGUGAAAGUCGCCAAAAAGUGGCGGAAUGCUCUCGAAACCAAUUCACUUGAGUGAGACAGAGGAGAGUGGAAUUUCGUGUGUAGGGGUGAAAUCCGUAAAUAUACGAAGGAACGCCAAAAGCGAAGGCAGCUCUCUGGGUCCCUACAGACGCUGGGGCGCGAAAGCAUGGGGAGCGAACAGG
rnacentral:rRNA from 1 species